ACGGAAGGCAGCAGUGGGGAAUAUUGGGCAAUGGGCGCAAGCCUGACCCAGCGACGCCGCGUGAGGGAAGAAGGUCUUCGGAUUGUAAACCUUAGUUAUCGGGGACGAAGAAAGUGACGGUACCCGAAGAGAAAGCCACGGCUAACUACGUGCCAGCAGCCGCGGUAAUACGUAGGUGGCGAGCGUUAUCCGGAUUUACUGGGUGUAAAGGGUGUGUAGGCGGGGAUUCAAGUCAGAUGUGAAAACUAUGGGCUUAACUCAUAGCCUGCAUUUGAAACUGAUUUUCUUGAGUGUCGGAGAGGUAAAUGGAAUUCCCAGUGUAGCGGUGAAAUGCGUAGAUAUUGGGAGGAACACCAGUGGCGAAGGCGGUUUACUGGACGACAACUGACGCUGAGACGCGAAAGCGUGGGGAGCAAACAGGAUUAGAUACCCUGGUA
rnacentral:rRNA from 1 species